UUUACUCUUUGGAGAUUUGGAUUCUGCCUUCCACUGCCCUGUGAGUUUGUCCUGGACUAGUCCUGAAUUUUUCAGUUCGUCUCUUAGAGACAUCUAAGAUAACUAAGCCUCCCUACUUGGGAGGCUGAGGCAGGAGAAUAGCUUGAACCCGGGAGGCAGAAGUUGCAGUGAGCCGAGAUCGCACCACCGCACUCCAGCCAGGUGACAGAGUGAGACUCCGUCCAAAAAAAACCCAAAAAAACAAAAAGUAGAGUCUAUGUAACCUACUUUUUGAAUUUGGCAUUGCCUUGUGACUUGCUUUGGCUAACAAAUGUGUCAGAAGUGACAAUAUGUGACUUCUGGAGCCUAGACUGUGGAAAAUCUUGUGGCUUCCACUUUCACUCUCUUGGGACCUGCUGAUGCCAGGCCAGGAGCCAAGGCUAUUCUGCUGGAGAGCCACACGCAGGAGAACUGAGGUCCUUUGGCUGUCAAUCCCAGCAUGGCCCUCCAGAAUGAACUGCAAGCUUGGAUGAGGCUCUGGAGAGCACUUACAUCCAUUGUUUAAGCUCCAAGAGGCUCGGAUUCCAUGAACUUUGCCAAUGAGAAGGUUGAAAAAUUGGAGGUGAGUGUGGAUGGAGCAGCUGCCUAUUAGCAAAUUUGGCCAAAUGGUGGUGCUAUAAGCCAGAAAAUCAAAGCACAUUCUAGUAGCCAGGGUUAGACUGGAACAAUGGUCUCUGCACCUACAAGGCCACCAGGGGGCAGAGGGAGGUAAUACUGCUUUUCUCAGGGGCCAGCUGGAGUCACCAGUCAACAAUGUGCUCGAUGCCGUGGCUUUGAGAGGCUGAGGUUUGAGGUCACGAGUUCAAGACCAGCCUGGGCAACAUGGUGAAACCCUGUCUCUACUAAAAAUACAAGAAAUUAGCUGGGCGUGGUGGUGUGAACCUCAGGAGGCUGAGGCAGGAAAAUCUCUUGAACCCGAGAGGCAAUGGUUGCAGUGAGCUGAGAUCAUGCCAUUGCAUUACAGCCUGGGUGACAGAGUGAGACUCUAUCUCAGAAAAACAAAACGAAAAAG
rnacentral:lncRNA from 13 species